UACUCAACAUUAAUGCAUACGGUGGAUGCCUUGGUCGAAAGUACCGAUGAAGGACGUAAUAAGCUGCGAUAAGCUUCGGGAAGCUGCUAAUAAGCUUUGAUCCGAAGAUUUCCGAAUAGAGUAAUCAGUCCGAUUUAUCGGACACUGUUAACUGAAUUCAUAGGUUAACGGAGGGUACGCGCUGAACUGAAACAUCUAAGUAAGCGCAGGAAAAGAGAACAAUAGUUUAUUCCCCAAGUAGCGGCGAGCGAAAAGGGAACAGCCCAAACCCGCGCAAAUUUUCGUAAGAAAAUUUGAACGGGGGUUGUAGGAUUCCGCAUAAAGGAUCAGAUAAGGAUAGUUGAAAUGCCUGGAAAGGUAUGCCAAAGAACAUGAUAGCUGUGUAAACGAAAUCCAAAUUUGCCUGCGGGACACCUGAGUAGCAUAGGACACGUGUAAUCCUGUGUGAAGCUAGCAAGACCACUUGUUAAGGCUAAAUAUACUUUCGGACCGAUAGUGAACUAGUACCGCGAGGGAAAGGUGAAAAGAAGAGCGAAACGCUCAGUGAAAUAGUACCUGAAACCGUAUGUUGACAAGCAGUGAAACUCGUGCUUCGCACAAGAGUAAUUAACUAUUUGUUGUUAGUUUUUAGCUGGAAAUUGUUAAAGCUGAUAGCGAGAAGUUAGUUAUCUUUGUGCGGAGCGUGAGAAUCGCGUGCCUAUUGAAGAAUGAACCGGUGAGUUACCGUAUCCUUUUUGCUUAAGCCAUUAUGUGGCGGAAGCGCAGUGAAAGCGAGGGUUAAUAGCCCGAUUUUAAAGGAUGCGAUAGACCCGAAACCGAGUGAGCUAUCCAUGUCCAGGGUGAACCCGCCUUAAUAAGCGUGGGGAGGCCCGAACCCGUUGUUGUAUCAAUAACAUGGGAUGAGGUGUGGUUAGAGGUGAUAUGCCUA
rnacentral:rRNA from 1 species